GACGUAGGGGGCGAGCGUUGUCCGGAUUUAUUGGGCGUAAAGCGCGCGUAGGCGGCUUUGCAAGCCGGAUGUGAAAUCCCCGGGCUUAACCUGGGAACUGCAUUCGGGACUGCAUUGCUAGAGUAUGGGUGAGGGAAGUGGAAUUUCAGGUGUAGCGGUGAAAUGCGUAGAUAUCUGAAGGAACAUCAGUGGCGAAAGCGACUUCCUGGACCAAUACUGACGCUCAUGUGCGAAAGCGUGGGGAGCAAACAGG
rnacentral:rRNA from 1 species